CUGAGCGUCAGUCUUUGUCCAGGGGGCCGCCUUCGCCACCGGUAUUCCUCCAGAUCUCUACGCAUUUCACCGCUACACCUGGAAUUCUACCCCCCUCUACAAGACUCUAGCCUGCCAGUUUCGGAUGCAGUUCCCAGGUUGAGCCCGGGGAUUUCACAUCCGACUUGACAGACCGCCUGCGUGCGCUUUACGCCCAGUAAUUCCGAUUAACGCUUGCACCCUCCGUAUUACCGCGGCUGCUGGCACGGAGUUAGCCGGUGCUUCUUCUGCGAGUAACGUCAAUUGCUGCGGUUAUUAACCACAACACCUUCCUCCUCGCUGAAAGUACUUUACAACCCGAAGGCCUUCUUCAUACACGCGGCAUGGCUGCAUCAGGCUUGCGCCCAUUGUGCAAUAUUCCCCACUGCUGCCUCCCGUAGGAGUCUGGACCGUGUCUCAGUUCCAGUGUGGCUGGUCAUCCUCUCAGACCAGCUAGGGAUCGUCGCCUAGGUGAGCCGUUACCCCACCUACUAGCUAAUCCCAUCUGGGCACAUCCGAUGGCAAGAGGCCCGAAGGUCCCCCUCUUUGGUCUUGCGACGUUAUGCGGUAUUAGCUACCGUUUCCAGUAGUUAUCCCCCUCCAUCGGGCAGUUUCCCAGACAUUACUCACCCGUCCGCCACUCGUCACCCAAGGAGCAAGCUCCUCUGUGCUACCGUUCGACUUGCAUGUGUUAGGCCUGCCGCCAGCGUUC
rnacentral:rRNA from 1 species